rnacentral:rRNA from 1 species
AUGGAGACAGUAAGUAGGACAUUUAACAGAGUUUUGGCAUGCCUCCUUAGGUUAGCACAUGACAUAAUUGUACCCAAGGACCCAACAUUUGCAGAGGUGCAUCCAAACUUAGAAAAUCCAGCAUUCUGGCCACACUUCAAUGGCUGCAUAGGAGCUAUAGAUGGGACACAUGUGAAGGUUGUGGUGGAUAAGAGUAAGAGGGUUCCAUACUUGAACAGGCACAAUGAAACCAGCUAGAAUGUGCUUGUUGUUUGUGAUUUCAACAUGAGAUUUACAUUUGUGAUGUCGGGAUGGCCUGGUUCAGCACACGACAUGAGAGUUUUCAAAGAUGCCAUAACUACUCAUCGUCACAAAUUUCCACGUCCACCACCAGGUUUGCUACUUGAACCGUCUUGCACUAAUUUUUAUCCAAUUACACUUGUUCAUCUUAGUCUCAUUGUGUGCCUUUGCCAAUAUGUAGGAAAGUAUUAUGUGGUUGAUGCGGGGUACCCAAACCGUCUGGGCUACCUUUCACCAUACAGAUGUACAAGGUACCACGUGGAGCAAUGGCAAAACGGCCCGCCGCCACAAGGUAUGAAAGAAACCUUCAACCAUGCACAUGCCAAAGUUAGGAAUGUCAUUGAGCGAUCAUUUGGAGUGUUGAAGAUGAAAUUUAGGAUUUUGUUGAACAUGCCAAAAUUUCCAGAGGACAAGCAAACUAGAAUUAUUGUUGCUUGUAUGGCUCUUCAUAAUUUCAUUCGAGAGAGCAGAAUUCCGGAUAGGGAAUUUGAUGCAUGUGAUGCGGAUGAAAACUAUAAUCCAAUGCCUAGUUCUGCUGCAUCUGCAUGGCCAGAAGACGAACCUCUUGUUGAAGAUACCAACAUGAAUGACUUCCGUGAAGAGUUAGCUCGUGCUCUGUUUCAUGGAAUGUGA